CCUACGGGCGGCAGCAGUGGGGAAUAUUGGACAAUGGGCGAAAGCCUGAUCCAGCCAUGCCGCGUGUGUGAAGAAGGCCUUCGGGUUGUAAAGCACUUUCAGUGGGGAAGAAAGCCUUGGGGCUAAUACCCUCGAGGAAGGACAUCACCCACAGAAGAAGCACCGGCUAACUCCGUGCCAGCAGCCGCGGUAAUACGGAGGGUGCGAGCGUUAAUCGGAAUUACUGGGCGUAAAGCGCGCGUAGGCGGUCUGAUAAGCCGGUUGUGAAAGCCCCGGGCUCAACCUGGGAACGGCAUCCGGAACUGUCAGGCUAGAGUGCAGGAGAGGAAGGUAGAAUUCCCGGUGUAGCGGUGAAAUGCGUAGAGAUCGGGAGGAAUACCAGUGGCGAAGGCGGCCUUCUGGACUGAUACUGACGCUGAGGUGCGAAAGCGUGGGUAGCAAACAGGAUUAGAUACCCCAGUAGUC
rnacentral:rRNA from 1 species